rnacentral:rRNA from 1 species
GAUGAACGCUGGCGGCGUGCCUAAUACAUGCAAGUAGAACGCUGAAGGAAGGAGCUUGCUCUUUCCGGAUGAGUUGCGAACGGGUGAGUAACGCGUAGGUAACCUGCCUGGUAGCGGGGGAUAACUAUUGGAAACGAUAGCUAAUACCGCAUAACAGUAGAUGUUGCAUGAUAUCUACUUAAAAGGUGCAAUUGCACCACUACCAGAUGGACCUGCGUUGUAUUAGCUAGUUGGUGAGGUAACGGCUCACCAAGGCGACGAUACAUAGCCGACCUGAGAGGGUGAUCGGCCACACUGGGACUGAGACACGGCCCAGACUCCUACGGGAGGCAGCAGUAGGGAAUCUUCGGCAAUGGACGGAAGUCUGACCGAGCAACGCCGCGUGAGUGAAGAAGGUUUUCGGAUCGUAAAGCUCUGUUGUAAGAGAAGAACGAGUGUGAGAGUGGAAAGUUCACACUGUGACGGUAUCUGACCAGAAAGGGACGGCUAACUACGUG